CCUACGGGAGGCAGCAGUAGGGAAUCUUCCACAAUGGGCGAAAGCCUGAUGGAGCAACGCCGCGUGAGUGAUGAAGGCCUUCGGGUUGUAAAACUCUGUCAUUCGGGACGAACCGGAGUCUGAGGAAAUGCAGACUCUCUGACGGUACCGGAGGAGGAAGCCCCGGCUAACUACGUGCCAGCAGCCGCGGUAAUACGUAGGGGGCAAGCGUUGUCCGGAUUCACUGGGCGUAAAGCGCGCGCAGGCGGUGAUGUAAGUCUGAGGUGAAAACCCGAAGCUCAACUUCGGGACUGCCUUGGAUACUGCGUCACUUGAGGAUAGGAGAGGCAAGGGGAAUUCCACGUGUAGCGGUGAAAUGCGUAGAGAUGUGGAGGAACACCUGUGGCGAAGGCGCCUUGCUGGCCUAUUUCUGACGCUGAGGCGCGAAAGCGUGGGGAGCAAACAGGAUUAGAUACCCUGGUAGUCCACGCUGUAAACGAUGAGUGCUAGGUGUAGGUGGGCUCAUACCCAUCUGUGCCGAAGCUAACGCAUUAAGCACUCCGCCUGGGGAGUCGGUCGCAAGACUGAAACUCAAAGGAAUUGACGGCGNGAGACGNGCCGAGGACGACACGAGGGGAGGUUAGG
rnacentral:rRNA from 1 species